rnacentral:rRNA from 1 species
GAUGAACGCUGGCGGCGUGCCUAAUACAUGCAAGUCGAGCGAACAGACGAGGAGCUUGCUCCUCUGACGUUAGCGGCGGACGGGUGAGUAACACGUGGAUAACCUACCUAUAAGACUGGGAUAACUUCGGGAAACCGGAACUAAUACCGGAUAAUAUAUUGAACCGCAUGGUUCAAUAGUGAAAGACGGUUUUGCUGUCACUUAUAGAUGGAUCCGCGCCGCAUUAGCUAGUUGGUAAGGUAACGGCUUACCAAGGCAACGAUGCGUAGCCGACCUGAGAGGGUGAUCGGCCACACUGGAACUGAGACACGGUCCAGACUCCUACGGGAGGCAGCAGUAGGGAAUCUUCCGCAAUGGGCGAGAGCCUGACGGAGCAACGCCGCGUGAGUGAUGAAGGUCUUCGGAUCGUAAAACUCUGUUAUUAGGGAAGAACAAAUGUGUAAGUAACUAUGCACGUCUUGACGGUACCUAAUCAGAAAGCCACGGCUAACUGCGUG